CAGCGAUUUGUCUUCUUGUCUCAAUAAGUGUAAGAAGUGGGUAGAGGAUGGAAAGGGAGAAGAAAGGAUUAAAGUUAAGCCUGAAUGUUUCAUUCUCCACCUUAACAUGACCGCAUCUACUAAUAGCCAAUAAAAUGAAUUGGCCUCUCUACUGGGCUGCUUGACCUUCCUCAUGACAUGGCAGUUGGUUUUUCCCAGAGCAGACAGGAACAACCAUGAUUCAAUAUGUGAGUAGGCUAUACAGGAGACAGGAACCAUUGGGAGCCAUUUUGAACACUCUCUACUACAGGAUCAAAAGCAAAUAAUUACAAAACAGUACAUCAAUGCAACAAUGGCAUUAUAUGUAAGCAUUAAUAUAGAAUUUUGGAGGGAAAUCACGAGAAAACUGAAGACAUCUGUCCACCAAGAAAAGCACAAAAGCUAUAAACUGAAGAUAGAUAUAUUUUCAACUAACUGCAGUCUUCAAGUAAGCAGCUGUUAUUUUAAAAAGCAGAAGUAGAGAUACAGAGCACUACGAUCUCAAAUAGAAUUGAGAUUUAAAAUUAUGCAUAAGGAAUUAACAUACUUUAAUCCUAAAGAAAGAGAAAAAAUAUAUUAAAGGUCAUCGUGACUAGAACCUUUAAUUGGCAAAAAGCUUGUAUUCACACAUCUUAUCAGAUGAUUUCCAUUUGUGAGCCAUUCUUGAUUCUAAUUCUCAUUUCAUUAUAACAAAGUUAUAACAAAAAGGAAAACUACCACAUUUCAGCAAAUCAAAAGAUAACCUCAAAUAUCUCCUUCACCUCCAUCCUUCAAUUGUUGCUUGAAGGAAUUGUACACCCAAAAGCACAUAUACACACACUAAUAUAAGUACCACUAAAUGCCAUGCAGUAUCAUCUAUGAGGGAAACACUGCCACUCA
rnacentral:lncRNA from 1 species